rnacentral:rRNA from 1 species
GGGUUGUGAGGUUAAGCGACUAAGCGUACACGGUGGAUGCCCUGGCAGUCAGAGGCGAUGAAGGACGUGCUAAUCUGCGAUAAGCGUCGGUAAGGUGAUAUGAACCGUUAUAACCGGCGAUUUCCGAAUGGGGAAACCCAGUGUGUUUCGACACACUAUCAUUAACUGAAUCCAUAGGUUAAUGAGGCGAACCGGGGGAACUGAAACAUCUAAGUACCCCGAGGAAAAGAAAUCAACCGAGAUUCCCCCAGUAGCGGCGAGCGAACGGGGAGCAGCCCAGAGCCUGAAUCAGUGUGUGUGUUAGUGGAAGCGUCUGGAAAGGCGCGCGAUACAGGGUGACAGCCCCGUACACAAAAAUGCACAUACUGUGAGCUCGAUGAGUAGGGCGGGACACGUGGUAUCCUGUCUGAAUAUGGGGGGACCAUCCUCCAAGGCUAAAUACUCCUGACUGACCGAUAGUGAACCAGUACCGUGAGGGAAAGGCGAAAAGAACCCCGGCGAGGGGAGUGAAAAAGAACCUGAAACCGUGUACGUACAAGCAGUGGGAGCACAGAGCAAUCUGUGUGACUGCGUACCUUUUGUAUAAUGGGUCAGCGACUUAUAUUCUGUAGCAAGGUUAACCGAAUAGGGGAGCCGAAGGGAAACCGAGUCUUAACUGGGCGUUAAGU